rnacentral:rRNA from 1 species
GUCCACGCUGUAAACGAUGAAGACUAGAUGUUGGGCAGCUUGACUGCUUAGUAUCGAAGCAAACGCGAUAAGUCUUCCGCCUGGGGAGUACGGCCGCAAGGUUAAAACUCAAAGGAAUUGACGGGGGCCCGCACAAGCGGUGGAGCAUGUGGUUUAAUUCGAUGCAACGCGAAAAACCUUACCUACCCUUGACAUGCCAGGAACUUGCCAGAGAUGGCUUGGUGCCCGAAAGGGAACCUGGACACAGGUGCUGCAUGGCUGUCGU